rnacentral:rRNA from 1 species
UAGUAACGGCGAGUGAAGCGGCAAUAGCUCAAAUUUGAAAUCUGGCUCUGCUCUAGGGUCCGAGUUGUAAUUUGUAGAGGGUGCUUUGGCACUGAUGGCGGUCUAAGUUCCUUGGAACAGGACAUCACAGAGGGUGAGAAUCCCGUAUGUGGUCGCUAAUCUUUGCCGUGUAAAGCCCCUUCAACGAGUCGAGUUGUUUGGGAAUGCAGCUCUAAAUGGGAGGUAAAUUUCUUCUAAAGCUAAAUAUUGGCCAGAGACCGAUAGCGCACAAGUAGAGUGAUCGAAAGAUGAAAAGCACUUUGGAAAGAGAGUCAAAAAGCACGUGAAAUUGUUGAAAGGGAAGCGCUUGCCGCCAGACUUGCCUGCAGUUGCUCACCUAGGCGCUCAGCCUGGGGCACUCUUCUGCAGGCAGGCCAGCAUCAGUUUGGGCAGCCGGAUAAAGGUCUCUGACACGUUCCUUCUACCUUUGUGUAGAUGGCCAUAUAGGGGAGACGUCAUGCGGUUAGCCUGGACUGAGGUCCGCGCAUUGCUAGGAUGCUGGCGUAAUGGCUGCAAGCGGCCCGUCUUGAAACACGGACCAAGGAGUCUAACAUCUAUGCGAGUGUUUGGGUGUCAAGCCCAAGCGCGCAAUAAACGUGAACGGAGGUGGGAACCCUCUUUUGGGGGUGCACCAUCGACCGAUCCUGAUGUCUUCGGAUGGAUUUGAGUAAGAGCAUAGCUGUUGGGACCCGAAAGAUGGUGAACUAUGCUUGAAUAGGGUGAAGCCAGAGGAAACUCUGGUGGAGGCUCGCAGCGGUUCUGACGUGCAAAUCGAUCGUCAAAUUUGGGCAUAGGGGCGAAAGACUAAUCGAACUAUCUA